ACGGAAGGCAGCAGUGGGGAAUAUUGCACAAUGGGGGAAACCCUGAUGCAGCGACGCCGCGUGAGUGAAGAAGUAUUUCGGUAUGUAAAGCUCUAUCAGCAGGAAAGAAAAUGACGGUACCUGACUAAGAAGCCCCGGCUAACUACGUGCCAGCAGCCGCGGUAAUACGUAGGGGGCAAGCGUUAUCCGGAUUUACUGGGUGUAAAGGGAGCGUAGACGGCUUUGCAAGUCUGAAGUGAAAGCCCGGGGCUCAACCCCGGAACUGCUUUGGAAACUGUAGAGCUAGAGUGCAGGAGAGGUAAGUGGAAUUCCUAGUGUAGCGGUGAAAUGCGCAGAUAUUAGGAGGAACACCAGUGGCGAAGGCGGCUUACUGGACUGUAACUGACGUUGAGGCUCGAAGGCGUGGGGAGCAAACAGGAUUAGAUACCCUGGUA
rnacentral:rRNA from 1 species